CAGCAUGACCAAAAAAGCCUUCAAAAAAGUAAAAGGAGAAAAAUAAUUAAAAAUGCUGGGAGCCCCUGGCGGUGCCUGGAAUCCCACGUGGUGGAGAAAAGGCCGUCUGGGAUGCCAAUUUUGGAGCUCGCCAGUGCGAUCAGCCAGUUUUAGAAGCAAAUGAGAACAGCCAAGAUACCCAUUCAAAGUUCAAGCCAGGUCUUUACAGAUACCCCUACCCAAGAGGCUGUGACUCCCUGCACUGCAGGGGUCAUCUCUAAGGACCAAGGACCAAAGCUGAAUAUCAUGAUCCUGCUAGUGUAUUACCUUUUCUUUGGUAUCUACUACAGCUGGAAUGACCACAUCUACACUACAAGGAAAAAGGUCAUUAAUCAGCAACUUCCUUCAACUUUUCUGCAACCAUGUGCAUGUUGCACUUUGAAAUACAUCCC